AGUCGAAGGGGGUAGAGCAGAGCUUGGCUUUUUCAAGAGAUCAGGCGCACGGGGUGAGUAACGGCGUAUGCAAUCUACCCUCAUACAGGGGAAUAGCUCCAGAGAAAUUUGGAAUUAAUGCCGUCAUGGUUGAUUGAGAUGGCAUCAUCUUGAUAAUAUAGAUUUAUCGGUAUCAGAUGAGCAUGCGUAUCAUUAGCUAGUUGGUGUGGUACGGCAUACCAAGGCGACGAUGAUUAGGGGUCCUGAGAGGGAGAUCCCCCACACUGGUACUGAGACACGGACCAGACUCCUACGGGAGGGAGCAGUGAGGAAUAUUGGUCAAUGGAGGCAACUCUGAACCAGCCAUGCCGCGUGCAGGAUGACGGUCCUAUGGAUUGUAAACUGCUUUUGUACAGGAAGAAACAUUACUACGUGUAGAACUUGACGGUACUGUAAGAAUAAGGAUCGGCUAACUCCGUGCCAGCAGCCGCGGUAAUACGGAGGUCCGAGCGUUAUCCGGAAUUAUUGGGUUUAAAGGGUUCGUAGGCGGUUAGAUAAGUCAGUGGUGAAAUUCCUAGCUGACUAGGGCACUGCCAUUGAACUGUUUAACUUGAAUGGGUGGAGUACUGGAUAUUGGGGAGCGGUGAAUGCUAGAUUUACUGUAUACCAUUGCGAGCAGGUGCUGCGUACUUUUGACGCU
rnacentral:rRNA from 1 species